CCUGUCUCUCAAAUGCUAACUGAAGAAAUUAAUGUAAAAAUGGAAAGAAAAAAAAAUCCAACAGAACAAAUGAAAAACCAAAUACAUAUUUGUGCACAUACACAGUCAGGUUUAUAAAAGCUGCCUCAGCAGUCUGGAGAGCUCAGCUAAGUUAUCCCUCAGGUUGGUGGCACUGAGAAGACCAAAAACUACUGCCCUGCAGGGAGGAAAAACAGGAGGCUUCAGCUGUUUCAGCUACGGUCAAGACCUAGCUGAUGAUCUCAAGGGCUUGAACUUCGUGUUUGUCACUGCACACUGGGAGCAUCCCCAUUUGUUCUGAGCUUUAUGAUCUGCUUCUGCAGUCUUCUAGUUUGCUCUGCCUGUGCUCCACUCUUCCUGCUCUGGUUGCACAACUACCAGAAAACCCUCAUCACAAAACAGAAUAAAUGCAUGAAACCUC